rnacentral:rRNA from 1 species
ACUGCUCUUUAACAAUUUAUCAGACAAUCUGUGUGGGCACUCAAAGUGACAUGGAUUCUUAACGUCCUCGGACGAAAAAUGAAUACCAAGUCUCAAGAGUGAACACGUAAUUCAUUACGAAGUUUAAUUCUUUGAGCAUCAAACUUAAAUUGAAGAGUUUGAUCAUGGCUCAGAUUGAACGCUGGCGGCAGGCCUAACACAUGCAAGUCGAGCGGUAGCACAGAGAGCUUGCUCUCGGGUGACGAGCGGCGGACGGGUGAGUAAUGUCUGGGAAACUGCCUGAUGGAGGGGGAUAACUACUGGAAACGGUAGCUAAUACCGCAUAACGUCGCAAGACCAAAGUGGGGGACCUUCGGGCCUCAUGCCAUCAGAUGUGCCCAGAUGGGAUUAGCUAGUAGGUGGGGUAACGGCUCACCUAGGCGACGAUCCCUAGCUGGUCUGAGAGGAUGACCAGCCACACUGGAACUGAGACACGGUCCAGACUCCUACGGGAGGCAGCAGUGGGGAAUAUUGCACAAUGGGCGCAAGCCUGAUGCAGCCAUGCCGCGUGUGUGAAGAAGGCCUUCGGGUUGUAAAGCACUUUCAGCGGGGAGGAAGGCGUUAAGGUUAAUAACCUCAUCGAUUGACGUUACCCGCAGAAGAAGCACCGGCUAACUCCGUGCCAGCAGCCGCGGUAAUACGGAGGGUGCAAGCGUUAAUCGGAAUUACUGGGCGUAAAGCGCACGCAGGCGGUCUGUCAAGUCGGAUGUGAAAUCCCCGGGCUCAACCUGGGAACUGCAUUCGAAACUGGCAGGCUAGAGUCUUGUAGAGGGGGUAGAAUUCCAGGUGUAGCGGUGAAAUGCGUAGAGAUCUGGAGGAAUACCGGUGGCGAAGGCGGCCCCCUGGACAAAGACUGACGCUCAGGUGCGAAAGCGUGGGGAGCAAACAGGAUUAGAUACCCUGGUAGUCCACGCCGUAAACGAUGUCGAUUUGGAGGUUGUGCCCUUGAGGCGUGGCUUCCGGAGCUAACGCGUUAAAUCGACCGCCUGGGGAGUACGGCCGCAAGGUUAAAACUCAAAUGAAUUGACGGGGGCCCGCACAAGCGGUGGAGCAUGUGGUUUAAUUCGAUGCAACGCGAAGAACCUUACCUGGUCUUGACAUCCACAGAACUUAGCAGAGAUGCUUUGGUGCCUUCGGGAACUGUGAGACAGGUGCUGCAUGGCUGUCGUCAGCUCGUGUUGUGAAAUGUUGGGUUAAGUCCCGCAACGAGCGCAACCCUUAUCCUUUGUUGCCAGCGGUCCGGCCGGGAACUCAAAGGAGACUGCCAGUGAUAAACUGGAGGAAGGUGGGGAUGACGUCAAGUCAUCAUGGCCCUUACGACCAGGGCUACACACGUGCUACAAUGGCAUAUACAAAGAGAAGCGACCUCGCGAGAGCAAGCGGACCUCAUAAAGUAUGUCGUAGUCCGGAUUGGAGUCUGCAACUCGACUCCAUGAAGUCGGAAUCGCUAGUAAUCGUAGAUCAGAAUGCUACGGUGAAUACGUUCCCGGGCCUUGUACACACCGCCCGUCACACCAUGGGAGUGGGUUGCAAAAGAAGUAGGUAGCUUAACCUUCGGGAGGGCGCUUACCACUUUGUGAUUCAUGACUGGGGUGAAGUCGUAACAAGGUAACCGUAGGGGAACCUGCGGUUGGAUCACCUCCUUA